GAUGAACGCUAGCUACAGGCUUAACACAUGCAAGUCGAGGGGUAACGAGAGGAAAGCUUGCUUUCCUUGUCGACGACCGGCGCACGGGAGAGUAACGCGUAUCCAACCUGCCCCCAACUAAGGAAUAACCUUGCGAAAGUAAGACUAAUACCUUAUAAUUUCCUCAGAUGUCAUCUGACGAGGAAUAAAGAUUUAUCGGUUGUGGAUGGGGAUGCGUCUGAUUAGAUUGUGGGCGGGGUAAGGGCCCACCAAGGCAACGAUCAGUAGGGGUUCUGAGAGGAAGGUCCCCCACAUUGGAACUGAGACACGGUCCAAACUCCUACGGGAGGCAGCAGUGAGGAAUAUUGGUCAAUGGGCGAAAGCCUGAACCAGCCAAGUAGCGUGCAGGAUGACGGCCCUAUGGGUUGUAAACUGCUUUUAUACAGGAAUAAAGUUAGCCACGUGUGGUUAUUUGUAGGUACUGUAUGAAUAAGGACCGGCUAAUUCCGUGCCAGCCGCCGCCGUAA
rnacentral:rRNA from 1 species